UACGGAGGGUGCGAGCGUUGUUCGGAAUCACUGGGCGUAAAGCGCGUGUAGGCGGCUUCUUAAGUCCGAUGUGAAAGCCCGGGGCUCACCCCCGGAAGUGCAUUGGAUACUGGGAAGCUGGAGUACCGGGAGAGGAGGGUGGAAUUCCUGGUGUAGCGGUGAAAUGCGUAGAUAUCAGGAGGAACACCUGUGGCGAAGGCGGCCCUCUGGACGGAUACUGACGCUGAGACGCGAAAGCGUGGGAGCAAACAGG
rnacentral:rRNA from 1 species